rnacentral:rRNA from 1 species
ACUCAAAGGAAUUGACGGGGGCCCGCACAAGCGGUGGAGCAUGUGGUUCAAUUCGAUGCAGAGCGAAGAACCUUACCUGGGCUUGACAUGCUGGAAGUAGAAACCCGAAAGGGGGACGACCUGUUAAGUCAGGAGCCAGCACAGGUGGUGCAUGGCUGUCGUCAGCUCGUGCCGUGAGGUGUUGGGUUAAGUCCCGCAACGAGCGCAACCCUCACCCUAUGUUGCCAUCAGUUCGGCUGGGCACUCUUAGGGAACUGCCGGCGAAGAGCUGGAGGAAGGGGGGGAUGACGUCAAGUCCGUAUGCCCCUUAUGUCCAGGGCUACACACAUGCUACAAUGGUCGGUACAGAGGGUUGCCAACCCGCGAGGGGGAGCCAAUCCCAUAAAGCCGAUCUCAGUUCGGAUUGCAGGCUGCAACUCGCCUGCAUGAAGUAGGAAUCGCUAGUAAGCGCAGAUCAGCAGGCUGCGCUGAAUACGUUCCCGGGCCUUGUACACACCGCCCGU